rnacentral:piRNA from 1 species
UGAGUCUUGCCCCAGGUCAUUUUCUGA